AUUGAACGCUGGCGGCAGGCCUAACACAUGCAAGUCGAACGAGUGGCGGACGGGUGAGUAAUGUAUGGACAACUGCCUGAUGGAGGGGGAUAACUACUGGAAACGGUAGCUAAUACCGCAUACCAUCAGAUGUGCCCAGGUGGGAUUAGCUUGUUGGGGGGGUAACGGCUCACCAAGGCGACGAUCCCUACCUGGUCUGAGAGGAUGACAAGCCACACUGGAACUGAGACACGGUCCAGACUCCUACGGGAGGCAGCAGUGGGGAAUAUUGCACAAUGGGCGCAAGCCUGAUGCAGCCAUGCCGCGUGUAUGAAGAAGGCCUUCGGGUUGUAAAGUACUUUCAGCGGGGAGGCGUUAUCUUCAGAAGAAGCACCGGCUAACUCCGUGCCAGCAGCCGCGGUAAUUC
rnacentral:rRNA from 1 species